AUCUCAGCUGGUGCUCCUAUGCCCCCGGCCAUGCCGACCUCCGGUGGCGCUCAUCCCAUCCUGCACCUCCAACCCCGACUCCGCCACGCCCAACACAUCUUCACUAGAGCGCCUCCACACAGAGAACACCGGGUGCAUGGGGAACCUCCAUUGCACUCCCUCCGACGGCCGCCCGGCGGUAACCCAGCUCCUCCCCUCCCUCGUCUUCACCACCAACCGAGCCCCCCAAUGACGAACCAAGAGGAGCCGGGGGCGGCUAAAACUUUGGAUCACUGAUGGGACGCGGAGAUCCAACAAGCGAUGGUGACGACGCUUCAAAUUCUGCAGGAAUAGGAUUAAUGGCACAUAAGAGGAAUCCAUCAAACACGCUCUCCACUGGAUGUAAAUACUACUUCUAGUUAAGUUUCUGGAUCACACCGGUUCAUAAUUCAACAAGCAUUCCAAGCUUCUCAAGAACCAAAAGUUCGCGUCCAAGCUUGACCACCAGAUUAAGUUUUUUUAAUGUCCAGGUGGACAUGUCAUAGGUGCAGAUGGGCUUGAUCAAGCCGUUAAAUUAAUUUCAUUUACGAACUGACGUGAAGGCGAAGUUUUUUAGUAGGUAUUUCUUCAACAUAUGAAUGGUGCUUGCUUCUUGCGUCCAAAGAUGAUUUACUACUUUGUUGCUUCAAAUUAGGCUCGAACCAACCAUACCUACAGUAAACACAUCAUAAUUAUGAGCUAAUUUUUUUUGUGUUCCAUUGAUUUUCCUAACAUGUUGUUUGGCAUUGUUGUUGCUAAUCUCUUUGACAUUGAUUUUCAUAGCAUGAUGUUUGACACCGUCGGCCUCGCGAACCAACCAUACCUAUAGCAUGCUGUUGGACAUUGAUUUUGCUAAUUUCUUUGAUAUUGAUUUCCAUAGCAUGUUGUUUGACACCGUCAGCCUCGCUGUACUCAGCCAGGUUGCCACAACAAGGCGUCUGGUAGCCAUUCACCUCGUUUCUCCUAUUUUCUUUCUCCGUCCGUCCAUCAGGUGCUUCAAAAGCUGCUAUAAGUUCAUGGGCCGAUUUACUUUCAGGAGUUCCAUAUGAACUGUUUGACUGUGGGUGUGGGCAUGGGUACAUCAGAGAAGGGCUCCACUCUUUCAGAGCUAAGUAUUUUUUUAACUAAAAAAGAUCCAUGUUUGCACUGUUAUAUAUUUGGUUCAACUCAUAUUACAAGUAUGCAUCUAUAUAUGUUCCCAAACGAGUGAACCCCUUCCAACGUCAAAAUUAUGCAUGUCUUUCACAUUGCAGCUUCCCAUUGCCCGUUGGUAUGUGCCUCGAAUGGCUUCACCAUUGCAAAAGGUAUUGUAGUCGUGCACAACAUACUACACCGAAUUCUUUGUAGCUUUGUGGAAUUUUGCUGAAAACUGUUGUUACUAUUUGAGAAUUGAGAGUGAUGUUAUUUUCUUCCUAUGUUGUAGAGGCCAGAAAAGUUUGGUGAGACGGAACACUAUCAUGGUCUUUUAUAGAGCUACAGAUCAAUCUUUACGAAUGUUUUUCUGUAGGCAAUUAUUUGCUCUUCUUGAAACUGUGAGACCGGUAUUUUGAUUUGUUGUUUCUUCUUAACUGCAGAUUUGUCACCUACUAUUAGGUACAUAUAUUGUGUUACUGCACAUUGCCUCUAUAUGUGUUCACUUGAAAAGAUAAGACUAUUUUACCAACCAAUACUUUCAGCUCCCAUUUGAAGGGAAUAGUAUGGUGCUCGUGGUCUUUAUGUUAUCUUACCAUUCUAUACGAUAAAAAUGAUUCUGUUCAAUUCCAGUCUAUCCACCUCUAACAUGUUGUUUGUUGCUUUUCUUUUCUUGUUAUAUGGUUUUUCCUGCUCUUUCCAAAAUCAUGAACUCAUUAAGCAUAUAAGCACAUAUAAUGCAAGGUUUCUUUUGGUGCUUUUAGAACUUAAAAAUGGUUCAUUUUUAUUGUAAAGGAGGGUAUGCAAUCACUAUGGUGGCAUUAUGAUGGCUCUUGUAAGUUUGACAUGGGAGUUUAAGGGACAACUUGAUUGUUCACAUAGAGAAGAGAGCUGCUGAUUAUUUUUGUGGUGAGCUGUGAUGCAAGGUUUUGCCGUGAUGUUACAAAACAGAUAUCGAUAUCGAAAACUAUAUACUUGGAGAUCUUUGGGCAAGGUAACACAUUUCAAUAAAUAAGGGCAAAUGGAUUGGUUCUCUAUAUAUUUAAUUACACAGAUGGCUUUGUCCUAUUAUUCCUUACCAGUAGGUUUUUUGUCAUGAACUAUAAACAAUUGAAAUUAUAUUUGCACCAUCUAUCUCAUUGCGUGGCAUGUUAAGGCACCAUGGCUCUUCUAAGUUUUGGGAUGUCGGCCAAGCAACCGACCUUGUGAUGGGACUGCAAUUCUGGCUGGCCUUCCACCUGAAGAAGCUAGCCAUUGACACCACAAAAAUCGAAGCGGUUGUUCCCCUGCUCCAUGGAUCCGUGGCACUCAACGGCCUUGGUUGAAACGAUGGCGUCAAAACAUAAAGCAGAUUAUGUAAAGUAGGACUUGCAAAAAAACAAUCAUAUUACAAGAAUGGAUAAAUAGUGGUUGUACCUGAGUGCUUUGAAUGUGUCCUUCAAGAUUCAUAGGAAUAAGAAGAUUACUGAUGAUUUGAAAUAAGAAUGCAGUAGCUUUUCGGGUGAAAAAAGAACCUUAUCAACAUAAUAAUUCGUUUGAAAUAUUUCUUUACUACUACUAUCAGAUUAUCCUU